UACGAAGGGGGCUAGCGUUGUUCGGAAUUACUGGGCGUAAAGCGUGCGCAGGCGGCCAUCCAAGUCAGUUGUGAAAGCCCGGAGCUCAACUCCGGAAUUGCCAUUGAAACUGUUUGGCUCGAGUACGAGAGAGGUGAGUGGAAUUCCCAGUGUAGAGGUGAAAUUCGUAGAUAUCGGGAAGAACACCGGUGGCGAAGGCGGCUCACUGGCUCGUAACUGACGCUCAUGCACGACAGCGUGGGGAUCAAACAGG
rnacentral:rRNA from 1 species